GUACCCGUAGCUCAGUGGAUAGAGCGACAGAUUGCGGAUCUGUAGGUCGGAGGUUCGACCCCUCUCGGGUACA
rnacentral:tRNA from 1 species